rnacentral:rRNA from 1 species
AGUGAACGCUGGCGGUAGGCCUAACACAUGCAAGUCGAACGGCAGCACAGUAAGAGCUUGCUCUUACGGGUGGCGAGUGGCGGACGGGUGAGGAAUACAUCGGAAUCUACUUUUUCGUGGGGGAUAACGUAGGGAAACUUACGCUAAUACCGCAUACGACCUACGGGUGAAAGCAGGGGAUCUUCGGACCUUGCGCGAUUGAAUGAGCCGAUGUCGGAUUAGCUAGUUGGCGGGGUAAAGGCCCACCAAGGCGACGAUCCGUAGCUGGUCUGCGAGGAUGACCAGCCACACUGGAACUGAGACACGGUCCAGACUCCUACGGGAGGCAGCAGUGGGGAAUAUUGGACAAUGGGCGCAAGCCUGAUCCAGCCAUACCGCGUGGGUGAAGAAGGCCUUCGGGUUGUAAAGCCCUUUUGUUGGGAAAGAAAAGCAGCAGGUUAAUACCCCGCUGUUCUGACGGUACCCAAAGAAUAAGCACCGGCUAACUUCGUG